rnacentral:rRNA from 1 species
AUGGGUAAGUAUUCGGAACCCAAGGUGGCCUUGGCCGAGAAGAAGAAUGAACAAAAGGUGGCAAAGUGGGAGAGAAGAUGUGCCUUCGAGGAGCGCAAUAUCGAUAUUGAGGAGCAAAAGAAGAAGGAUAACAAGAUCGCCGAGGAGGACCAGUUCUUGAUGAUGGAUCCGAAUGGCAUGGAACCUAUGGCAAGAGAGUUCUGGGAGUUGAAAAGAAUGGAGAUCAUGUUUCAGAGGAGGCAAGAGCUUCUGGCCGGGAGUGGUGGUGCUUCGGCCAAUGGAGCUGGUGGUGGAGGUGCUUCAGCCAAUGGAGGUGGUGGUGCUGCUGCUUCCGACAAUGGCGGUGAUGGUGGUGGUGCUUCGGCCAAUGAAGGAGGAGGUGGUGGUGCUUCCGACAAUGGUGGUGAUGGUUCUUCGGUCAAUGUUGAUGAUGGUGGUGCUAUGGCUGGUGAUGGUGGCGAUGAUCUUGUCAACAAUGGUGUUGCUUGA